rnacentral:piRNA from 1 species
UUUGAAUGUUCCUGAACUUUUUUUAGUUGU